rnacentral:rRNA from 1 species
AACGAACGCUGGCGGCAUGCCUAACACAUGCAAGUCGAACGAGACCUUCGGGUCUAGUGGCGCACGGGUGCGUAACGCGUGGGAACCUGCCCUUAGGUUCGGAAUAACUCCCCGAAAGGGGUGCUAAUACCGGAUAAUGUCUUCGGACCAAAGAUUUAUCGCCUUUGGAUGGGCCCGCGUUGGAUUAGCUAGUUGGUAGGGUAAAAGCCUACCAAGGCGACGAUCCAUAGCUGGUCUGGGAGGAUGAUCAGCCACACUGGGACUGAGACACGGCCCAGACUCCUACGGGAGGCAGCAGUGGGGAAUAUUGGACAAUGGGCGAAAGCCUGAUCCAGCAAUGCCGCGUGAGUGAUGAAGGUCUUAGGGUUGUAAAGCUCUUUUACCCGGGAUGAUAAUGACAGUACCGGGAGAAUAAGCUCCGGCUAACUCCGUG